AUCCAGACUCCUACGGGAGGCAGCAGUGGGGAAUAUUGCACAAUGGGGGAAACCCUGAUGCAGCAACGCCGCGUGAGUGAAGAAGUAUUUCGGUAUGUAAAGCUCUAUCAGCAGGGAAGAGAAUGACGGUACCUGACUAAGAAGCCCCGGCUAACUACGUGCCAGCAGCCGCGGUAAUACGUAGGGGGCAAGCGUUAUCCGGAUUUACUGGGUGUAAAGGGGGCGUAGACGGCUGGCCAAGUCUGAAGUGAAAGCCCGGGGCUUAACCCCGGAACGGCUUUGGAAACUGGCCGGCUGGAGUGCUGGAGAGGCAGGCGGAAUUCCUGGUGUAGCGGUGGAAUGCGUAGAUAUCAGGAGGAACACCGGUGGCGAAGGCGGCCUGCUGGACAGUAACUGACGUUGAGGCUCGAAAGCGUGGGGAGCAAACAGGAUUAGAUACCCUAGUAUUG
rnacentral:rRNA from 1 species